rnacentral:lncRNA from 1 species
UGGCUGUCUUCAGACACCCCAUAAGAGGGCAUCAGAUCUCAUUACAGAUGGUUGCAAGCCACCAUGUGGUUGCUCAGAUUUGAACUCAGGACCUUCAGAAGAGCAGUCAGUGCUCUUAACUGCUGAGCCAUCUCUCCAGCCCUCUAUUCUACUCUUAAUAGACAGCUGAAGUAUGGUCAGUUAGAGCUAUUAUAUACAAUGUUGCUAGUUACUUUCUUCUAUGUGUCUUCAGUACAUACCUGUAGUUUCUCUAAGCCACAUACUGAAACAAAUAAUGGACAGACUUAAAAUAGAAUAUACAUAGUCUGAUGGUUUGAAUAGAAAUGGCCCCCAUAGGCUCAUAUGUUGGGGGAUGUUUUGUGCACUGUGUAUUUGAAUGUUGAUUUCUGUGCCCAGACAUCUGGCUGCAGUCUGGACUUUGGUGUUGUCAUUAUAAUACAUUUCCUGACUCACUAUUUGGUAAAACAUUGUCCUCCAUCAUCUUCUGAUUGGUCAAUAAAGAGCUGAUCAGCCUAUAGCUGGGCAGGAGAAGAUAAGGCAGCACUUCCAGGCCCAGAGAGCCAGGGAGGGGAUCUCAUAUAGAAACCAGGGGAGUUGCCAUAGGGACACAGAUGAAGAAGGAGGCCAGGGCAAGACCAAGAAUGCAGGUAAUGGGAUACGUAGCUGGGAAGUAGUCUAAGGCCAGCAGUGUUGGGUUAGAAUAGCUCAGUAUCUGACCAGCUAUAGUGCAAGAAGCUUUAUAAUAAACAUAUAGGUCUCCAUAUCAUUAUUCAGAGCAAGGGCAGGCAUAAGAAUUCCCCCUUCUGUUACACUCUUUUACACUCAUAGAUUUGAAUCCUUGAUCACCAGGGAAUGACACUAUUAAGGCUCUGAGGUUUCAAAAGUCCAAGCCAGGACCAGUGGCUUUCUCUCUUCCUGCUGCCCGUGGAUCCAGUUGUAGAACUAUCAGCAAUUUUUCAGCAACACAUCUGCCUGCACGCUGCCAUGCUGCCCUCCAUGAUGAUAUUGGACUAAAUAUCUGAACUUGUAAACCAGCCCCAGGUAAAUAUUUUCCUUUGUAAGAGUUGCCAUGGUCAUGGUGUCUCUUCACAACAAUAGAAGACUUACUAGGCCACAGGUUAAUUUUGUGAGAUAUACUAAAGGUUUAUUUAAAUGUUUAUACCAAAUUACAUUUCUAUUAACUGUGAGUUAGAUACACACUAAUAAGGGCUGAUUCUCUCUUCAUUCUGUCUUAUUUUUCAAUUUUUCUACUAGGCUGUGUGUGUGUGUCUGUGUGUGUGUCUGUCUGUGUGUCUGUGUGUAUGUUGUGAGGGGGUGUGAGUGUGGGUGGGUGAGGGUGUAGGUGUCUGUGGGUAGGUGGGUGUCUGUGUGUGGGUGGGUGUCUCUGUGUGUGUGUGUGUGUGUGUGUGUGUGUGUGUGUGUGUGUAGGAAACUUUAAUAUGUGCUGGACAGUAGGCUAUUUUAUCUAAUAUACUGGAAUAUCAUGUUCACCUUUAUGAUUUUUUCCUCUUAUGUGCAAUGGCCUUGUGAUGAGAGAUAUUUAACAGAAUUGAAAAUUCCACUUUUCUACUGUGAUUUAUGUUUUUGUUUCUUACUUAAAUAAAUUCUUCUUUGUCAUUACACAUCAUAAAGACAUUCUCCUAACUUGUCUUCUAACGGUUGUUUUGUUUUGUUUUUUGUCUUUGCUUUCUUUUUAAAGUCUGUAUUCCAUUUGGCCUGGAUGUCUGUGUAUGGUAAAAGGAGAGAUCUGAUUGUGUUGCGUAAGGAUGACUGAUUGAUCCCACAACAUGUGUUUUUCCACAUUAGUCUACAGUGGCGAGUCUAGCUUUGAGUUUCCAUAUAUACAUUGGGAACUCUGUUUAGAGAGCUCUAGUUGGUUGCAUUGGUCUAUCUGUUGCCAUACCUAUACCACAUCAAUUUGUUAUUUCACUAUGCUUUGGGAUGUGGUAGAAAAGUCUCCCAACUGGUCUUCACUAGAGACUAUUGGCUGGUCUCAACUUCUGCUCUGCACAAAAGGAUGUACUGUCACGUUCCAGGGAAAUCCCCAAGAGAAUGGGGAUUUUAUUGAAUAUGUCCAUCAAUACAGGAACUAUCAUUUCUCCC